GUCGAGGAUCUUCGGCAAUGGGCGCAAGCCUGACCGAGCGACGCCGCGUGUGCGAUGAAGGCCUUCGGGUUGUAAAGCACUGUCGAGAGGGAGAAAGCCGCAAGGUUGAUCUAUCUCUGGAGGAAGGACGGGCUAAGUUCGUGCCAGCAGCCGCGGUAAGACGAACCGUCCAAACGUUAUUCGGAAUCACUGGGCUUAAAGGGCGCGUAGGCGGGCGAGCAAGUCUGUGGUGAAAUACCCCGGCUUAACCGGGGAACUGCCGUGGAUACUGCUUGUCUCGAGGAGGGUAGGGGCAUCUGGAACAGCCGGUGGAGCGGUGAAAUGCGUUGAUAUCGGCUGGAACUCCGGUGGCGAAGGCGAGAUGCUGGACCCUUUCUGACGCUGAGGCGCGAAAGCCAGGGGAGCGAACGGGAUUAGAAACCCCGGUAGUCC
rnacentral:rRNA from 1 species